rnacentral:lncRNA from 1 species
GUGCAGGGACCCGGGGAGGCGCGCGAGGACCGACCGGUCACCGCUGAAAUUACCUCAUCGCUUCAGCUCCCCGCCCCUUUCCCAAACCUGGAAGAAGCGUCCCUCCGGCCGGAGGCGCCCCCCCCGCCCCCCGCUCGCCAGCCGGUCGCCGGCCGCGCGCCGCCUCCCGGGGCCGCCUCCCCGGGCCGCGCGCAGCCAAGGGUUAAGGGCGCCGGCCGGGCCGUCCGCCGCGCCGUGCGCUCGCGCUGCUCCGAGCCGCCCGCCGCCCGCCGCCCGCCGCGGGGCCCCCCCGCCACCCCCCACCCCCCACCCCCACCCCCAAGUCGGAUCCUUGAGCUGCGGCGGCGGCAGCCAACUGCUCCAUAUUUGGCUUCUAUUACACAUUUACAUACUGGAGCGAGCGAGCGAGCGAGCGAGCGCGAGAGAGCGCGAGGGAGGGAGGGCGGGCGGGCGGAGGGAGGAGGGAGGGGAGGGGAGCGGGGGGGUCGGAGGAGGAGGAGGGCGAGGAGGAGGAGGAGGAGGAGGACGAGAAGGAGGAGGAGGACGGGGAGGAGGAGGAGGAGGAGAGAGCAGAGUGUACCGCAGACAUCAUUUCUACUACAGUGGCGGAGCCGUACAGGACCUGUUUCACUGCAGGGGGAUCACAAAACAAGCCCCGCGGAGCAGCCGCCAGAGCUACAGCAGCCGCAAGACACUGUUUCUCUCCCUCUGCCCCCCCUUCCCCACGCAACCCCAGAUCCAUUUACACUUUACAGAGCAUCGUGCAGCAGCCAGUCCCCAGGGUGGUCCGUUCAAGCUGCGGAUUUGUUUGCCAUCACUCUAAGACAAUCUCCUCCUCCACGGCCACUCCAGGGAAGUGCAUCACAAAUCAGCAUACUGGAGCAAAAUGAAAGAAUUUGUUCUGAGGCCUCAAAAGUAGUGCUGCUACGGACCAUGAGCAAGAAAGGGUGGACUUCAGCCUGCACGGAUGGUCUUGAAACACAAAUAGUUGUGGAUUUCUAUUCUAGGAAUUGCCACUGCUGGUCUAAGCUGCACUUCACUGGCACCCUGGAGCUCCGAGAGCCUUAA